rnacentral:lncRNA from 8 species
UGUUUCAAUUACCAAUAUCGCUCGAGUAGCCUAUAUAAAUUAUUGAAGCGUGUUUAGACUAUAUUGAAUUGAGGAUGUUUUGCAGUGAGCUCCCCUAAACGAACCAAAUGGUUUGGUCUGCCCGUGCCCUCUGCUGCUGUACGUCCUAUUAUUCCGACGUCAGCACGAGAGAGCGCAGAGAGGAGGGGUGGCGUUGCGUUGUGGUUGGACGUGUGUUGACUGGAGCAGUUUUUUUUUUCAUCUCACAUUAAAUGCUGCGGCCCUCGACUGUCAAGGUGUCCUCGAGGUCAAGCACUAAACAGGGUGAUCUUGGACACUGAGUCAGGCUAGGCAGCUUUGGGCUGAUGUUAGCUGGUCAGGGUGCCGGCCCUGUGGGCACCAUGAGGCGAGGGACCAGCCUGCAGAGCCGGCGCAGUAAGGGGGCAGGGGGAAACGGGACAGGGGCCGGAGUAGGGGGGGGAGACCGGGACCCCCCUCUGAGAGGCAGCCCCCAGGCCCCCCAGCGCCGGCCUACCUACGAUGCACAGCAACAUUCCGGCCGCCCACGCUCCUCCUCCACCACGGACAACACCACACCAAGUAGCCCUUCCCUUGGUUACCACCCUGGAUACGCGACGCCAGGCGACGUGGUGCUAUCGUCAGGAUACCAGUCCACGGAGGAGACAGACAGGGUGAGUGAUGUCAGCUGUCAAUCAUAUGAGGGUCUUCUUUGGUCAGGGUUUAUGGUCAUGUUUUGUCUGGUAAUGGAUAUGAUACAAUCCUGUCGUACUCAGGUGGUCUGCAUCAUCCAACAGGCUUGCUCUUAGAUAUUGAGGAGAGCUUAAGCUCUGUGUUUGGAGUAUGACACAUGUAUGACACAUAAUGUUUCUGUCCAGUAAUGCUCCUGAGCACAGGCAGUGUUAAUCCAGCUCAGGUCAGAGGUACAUACACGCAAAAACUUGCGCCUACUCAGAUCAGUCAGAAACAGGUAUUCCUGAGUCCCAGCUACCCAAAGACUGUAUUGGCACCCUUGAUGGCCAAAGAGCUCUAUUUUCAAGUCCUCCAACAAAUGUAAACACCUGGAGCUUGCUAAAGGGUAUUGCCACUUGGAUUGGAACCAGUGCUAUGGUCAGAGGACAUGAAAAUAGAGCUCUUUGGCCACGCACACCAGUGGUGGGGUUUGUGUCAAAAGAAAGAUGUAAAUGUAGAAAAUAACCCCAUACCCCGUGUACAGUAAUUAACCCCGUGUGAUGAGGAAGAGCUAGUGCUGAAUGUUCUAGAAACUCUGGCCAUCACCAUAAUGUAUCAAGGAGAGCUCCUGGUGUUGUAUGAAUGAAUGAGAAUGUCUGUCAUUCUGUGGGAAUAGGAAGUGCUUGGCAUGCUACGCAAGAUGUGUGUGUUGUCCUUCUUUUCAGUAUGUCUGUAUGUUCUCUGAGAGAGGGGAUGCUAGUCCAUCUGUGGUAAGAGAUGCAUUGAGAUGUGGUGGAUAUCUGUACCAGACACUGCUAUCACCACACACACACACACACACAGCCUGGGGGACAGACGGUGUGUAAGAAUAGGCCUCUUGUGUCUGAAAGGACAGAGCUCUGUAACAAAGGAAGGCUGACAAAGAGGAAGUGCAUACAGUAUUCUCUUGCUUAUCUAGCAUGCUAUGUUCUUUUUAUACUCUGGUAAAGUAGCCACACUUUUUUUAUUUAACCUUUAUUUAACUAGGCAAGUCAGUUAAGAACAAAUUCUUAUUUACAAUGACGGCCUACACCGGCCAAACCCGGACGACGCUGGGCCAAUUGUGCACCGCCCUAUGGGACUCCCAAUCACUUCCGGUUGUGAUACCCUGGUUUGAAUCCAGACUGUAUCUGUAGUGACGCCUCUAGCACUGAGAUGCAGUGCCUUAGACUACUGUGCCAGGUGAAAACUGUGCUCAUUUGUGUUCACUUAACUUUAUCCAACAGAUUCCUUUAGUUGGGGCACCAUGCCAGAUUAUUUUGUCAUUCAACAACACUACUUAUUGUUGCCAAGACAAGACAGACACUUUGACUAAAAUAGAUAGACUGGCACCGGUAGGAGACUAUUGAUUUUCAGCCUUGCUCUUCUCUUGGUCAGAUGACUGUGGUUUAGUAUGAAGAUAUGCAGAAACUGCUUCUCCAAUAGAAAUCUCUGAUCACGUUUGUAGGCGACGUCAUGGCGAUGUUGGCUAUCUAAACUCAUGCGUAGAAACACGUCACCAGGUCCAACCGCCGUCUUGCGCCUAACUGCACAUGCGCAGACCAUCAAAUCAAAGGCACUCCUUCGAUAUAAAGUCGUUUUUGACAAAUAUGAAAACGUGUCAGUUUGUCACUUUCAGGAGGUCGGAGUAAUAACAUGUUCAGCUACAUAAGACAAUUGUCUCGAAUCUAGGUUGUGCCUUUACAUUUGGAGAAAUCUAACAACUAAGGAAUGCUUAUUCACUUUUCUCAUUGACUUCUUAAACACCAAACCCCGGUCUGGUCUGCCGAGUCUGCUUCGCAAACGUUCCCGGAAGUCUCGCAAUGCUGGGCUUCUGGGUUUAGAAACUCUGUGGUAUAGCAAUACUAGUAUGUGAGUGGCUGCUGUUUGUCCUGACUUCCACCAGAUGGCGGUGUCAUAUCAGCUAAUGGCUGUAGUCUGAUGUACGGUGUUUGUGUGCGUGUGACUGGUCAGGGCUAGGUCAUCCUGAGUUCCUGUCUGGAGGUUCUGAGCUGAAGCCCGAUGUUUGUUUUCACUGUAGUGUCAAUUCAUCUCUGUGUUGAAUAAGCUACUAAAUAUGGUCAUUUUAAUAGAGACAGAAUAACAUUUUAAUCUCAAAGACUAUUAUUACCCUGCAGACUAGCAAUUCUCUUGUGUGUUAGUUAGUGAUACUGUAUUGCCCUCUGUAAUAGAGAGGCCAGUACUGAGUAAUAAAUCAAUAUUUCUGGCUAAUAUCCAGCCAACCUGUGUGUUACAGUAGAGCAGGCUGGUUAGAUUCCUAGACGCCUGGCUGUGUCAUUACUGCUGAAAUAGAUCAUUAGUCUCUCUCUCUUCACUGCUCAAUGUGCACGUGUUAGUCUUCUGGUAACUCUCGCUCACACACACACACACACACACACACACACACAGAGCCGUGUCUCAACCAAUGAAGCAAUGUCAUUCAGGUCAUCUGAGCGGUUGUCGUGGCAACCCUCCGGCUCACAGUGUCUGUACACCCUACUGUAGUUUCCAUGGAAAUGGCGAGGAUGACCUUGGCAGAGUGUGGCCCCCCUGUGGUGGGAAUAGGUCAGAGGUUAUGCCCCCCUGUUGGGUGUUGGGUGGUGGCCCAGACAGGUUUGGUCCUGUUGAACAUAUUUCAAUAGGCUUGAGCAGUGAAGUGUGUUUGUGUGUGUGUGUGCUUGAGAUUCCACACUGCACACAAUGGAUCUGAUAGAACCACACCCUACCCAAUACUACCUCUCUCAUUCUCUCUAUGACCCACCAUCUUUCUUCUGCCUUAACUCCCCUCUUCUCUCUAUUUUUCUCUCAUUUUCCAAACCUCUCUCUCACUCCCUCUCCCUCCCUCUUUCUCUCCCACUUUCAUAGUCCUAGGAGAGGGGUGGUUCAGACAGUCAGACAGCCAGCACCUCCCCCUCCCCUUGUCCCGCAACCUUGCCUUGUCCUACAAUAAAUGUGACGGAGCUGAAGACAGAGAGUGUGUGUUUGCUCAUCAGACUCUGUAUGUGUGUGUGUUCUCUUAAGACUCUGUGUGUGUGCAAAAAUAGAGUUUUAUUCCUAUUUCUGUCUGCUCUGUAAAUCCCACUUUGUGUGUGUGCGCGCGUGUAACUCUGUGCUGUCAGCCAUGAGGUGUGUGUGUAUGUGUGUGUGUGGAGAGAGAACCCGAGAGAUGGAAACCAUGCUGAGUGUGAGUAGAGGGCAGCACAGCUGAGCACUCUUUAUCUCUGUCUGUCCUCCCUGCCCCUCCUUUUCUCCCUCCUCACCUCCCUCUCUCGCUUUCUUUUCUCUCUUCACUUGUGUUUGCGCACUAGAUGAACCAACAUGGAUUAGAGCAGUUUGGAACAGAGAGAAGUGUGUUUUUCUGUGUGUAUUCACGUGCAUAUACUGUAUCUUUGUGUGUGAAGUAGAUUGCAGCCUGUGGGUCUGUGUGUGUGUGUGUGUGUGUGUGUGUGUGUGUGUGUGUGAGUGUACUGGCUCUGGAUGUGUGUGUUACUCUUGGGAGGAACUCAGUGUGUGUGGAGUGGACAGAGUGGAUCGUCAGUCUCUCCGUCAGUCAGGAUGGUGCAGAGGUUCAGUUUACGCAGACAAUACUCCAAGGUAAGUCUGCUAACAGACUCCCACUCAGCUGUAUAGUGACCCACUGAGCUAAACAUAAUACAGUAAAUUGACUUCAUAUUAGUCUGAUCAUUGGGGACCUGUGACAUACUUCUAGUACCUGCUAUCUGUGAGGUUAUGGAAAAGUUGUCUCGCUCUGAGUCAAUACUGUAUUUCACGUGUCAUGUAAAAUCAAGUAUUUUUCUCCAUGAUUGGUCAAAUCAAGUGUUAGGAUAUUUCAAGUGCAUACUUUAAAAAUGUAUCUGGUGUUGCUGAAUGUUUCUUUUUUCCAUUCUAGUUCCAUCUGUCUCGAUUAAUCUGUCAAAUGUUUUC